UAAGACGAACCGUGCGAACGUUGUUCGGAAUCACUGGGCUUAAAGGGCGCGUAGGCGGGUCAUCAAGUCCGGGGUGAAAGCCCCCAGCUUAACUGGGGAAGGGCCUUGGAUACUGAUGGUCUCGAGGGGGGUAGGGGCAGUGGGAACUUCCGGUGGAGCGGUGAAAUGCGUUGAUAUCGGAAGGAACGCCGGUGGCGAAAGCGCACUGCUGGACCUUUUCUGACGCUGAGGCGCGAAAGCCAGGGGAGCAAACGGGAUUAGAUACCCCGGUAGUCCUGGCCCUAAACGAUGGGUACUAGGUAGUAGACUGGACAUGGGUUUACUGCCGAAGCCAAAGUGCUAAGUACCCCGCCUGGGGAGUAUGGUCGCAAGGCUG
rnacentral:rRNA from 1 species